GCUUCUGUAGUGCAAUGGGUAGCACGUUGGAUAUAUAAUCCAAAGGCCGUGGGUUAGAACCCCACUUGGGAUA